rnacentral:rRNA from 1 species
AUUGAACGCUGGCGGCAGGCCUUACACAUGCAAGUCGAACGGCAGCAUGGAGAGCUUGCUCUCUGAUGGCGAGUGGCGAACGGGUGAGUAAUGCAUCGGAACGUACCGUGUAAUGGGGGAUAACGUAGCGAAAGUUACGCUAAUACCGCAUACGACCUGAGGGUGAAAGCAGGGGAUCGCAAGACCUUGCGUUAUACGAGCGGCCGAUGUCAGAUGAGCUAGUUGGUGAGGUAAAGGCUCACCAAGGCGACGAUCUGUAGCGGGUCUGAGAGGAUGAUCCGCCACACUGGGACUGAGACACGGCCCAGACUCCUACGGGAGGCAGCAGUGGGGAAUUUUGGACAAUGGGGGCAACUCUGAUCCAGCCAUGCCGCGUGAGUGAAGAAGGCCUUCGGGUUGUAAAGCUCUUUCGGCCGGGAAGAAAUCGCACAGGCUAAUACUCUGUGUGGAUGACGGUACCGGCAUAAGAAGCACCGGCUAACUACGUGCCAGCCGCCGCGGUAAAAC